CGCGCAGGCGGGAAGACAAGUUGGGAGUGAAAUCCGGGGGCUCAACCCCGAACUGCUUUCAAAACUGUUUUCUUGAGUGAUGGAGAGGCAGGCGGAAUUCCCAGUGUAGCGGUGAAAUGCGUAGAUAUUGGGAGGAACACCAGUGGCGAAGGCGGCCUGCUGGACAUUAACUGACGCUGAGGCGCGAAAGCGUGGGGAGCAAACAGGAUUAGAUACCCUGGGAGUCCACGCCGUAAACGAUGGAUACUA
rnacentral:rRNA from 1 species